UGUAAGGUAGACUAAGGGUUAGUCACUAGACUCAUUAUCUGGGGAUGUAGGUUCGAGUCCUACCUUUACAU
rnacentral:tRNA from 1 species